rnacentral:misc_RNA from 1 species
GUGGCACGUUUUCAGAGCCCUAUUGUUGUAUUUAGUCUUUGGGAUAUGUAUUGUUACUCUUUAACACUACCAGAGUGAAAUUUGUCGGUGAUGAUAAGCCUGGGUCAUGCCAUUCAGUUAUAUUGUGUAGGCUAGCUAACUGUAAUAAAAUAUUUUUAUAACCUCAGUAAAAGUAAUGAAUCAAGAUACCCCUUUUGAAGAAAGUAAUUGGGUACUGUACAAAGAUCGGCCAUCAUGGAGAGAUAUUGAGCCUCUGUCACAAAAUGAUGGGAGUUCUGCGAUUGUCCAAAUAGCAUAUUCUGAAAAAUUUAGAGAUGUCUUUGACUACUUUAGAGCUGUUCUGUUCAAAGAUGAAAAGAGUGAAAGAUCUUUCAAGUUGACUGAAGAUGCCAUUUCUUUAAAUCCUUCAAAUUAUACAGUCUGGUACUUCAGAAGGGUUCUUCUUCAAGCUCUGAAGAAGGAUUUACAUAAGGAAUUAAUCUAUGUUCAAUCUAUCAUUGAAGAUAAUCCAAAAAAUUACCAAGUGUGGCACCAUCGUCAAGUUAUUGUUGAUUGGCUACGUGACACUAGUGAAGAGAAACAGUUGACUGAGGCUGUGCUGAAAGUAGAUCCAAAGAACUAUCAUGCUUGGCAGCAUAGGCAGUGGGUUCUGGAAGAAUUUGGUAUUUGGGAAGGUGAAAUAGAAUUUGUUGAACAAUUGUUGGAAGAUGACAUUCGUAACAAUUCAGCAUGGAAUCACCGUUGGUUUUGUAUUUCUCGUACCAGCUCUGGAGAGCUAAUGGAAGAUGUACUCAUGAAAGAGUUAAAGUAUGUAUUGGACUGUAUUAAAAAAGUUCCAUCUAAUGAAAGUUCAUGGAAUUAUCUUCAUGGUAUUUUGGAAGAGAGAGGCUUGACCAAAUAUCCUUUCAUUUGGGAAUUUUGUGAAGAACUUUACUCUGAAGGAUGCAGAUCACCUUAUCUUUUGGCAUUCAUGGUGGACUAUUUGGAGGCUAAGGGGGAAGAAAGCUCUGAUAAUCUUUUAUCAGUUCAAAGAGCCAUUGAGAAAGAUUGUAUGAAAAUCUAAAAAUGAAGGAAGUUUCGGUUUAUGAAAAUGUUUGUGUGAAGUCCAGUUAGAUGAUUGAAUUGAGUCUUUCAUUAUAUUAGAUUUGUAAUGCAUUAGCUAUACAACAUGAUAAGAUCCGAGCAGAGUACUGGAAGUUCAUGGCACGAAACCUUGGUAAGAAGUACGAAGCAAGCCCGAAUUGUUCUGACU